rnacentral:rRNA from 1 species
GUGUCAGCAGCCGCGGUAAUACGAAGGGUGCAAACGUUAUUCGGAAUCACUGGGCGUAAAGGGUGCGUAGAUGGUAUGUUAAGUUCGUCGUUAAAGGCUCUGGCCUAACUGGAGUAUUGCGAUGAAAACUGGCGUACUAGAGGGUGAGAGAGAGAAGUGGAAUUCCCGGAGUAGCGGUAAAAUGCGUGGAUCUCGGGAGGAACACCAAUGGCGAAGGCAGCUUCUUGGCUCAUUCCUGACAUUGAGGCACGAAAGCGUGGGGAGCAAACAGGAUUAGAUACCCUGGUAGUCCACGCCGUAAACGAUAAUCACUAGAUGUUGGUUCGGCUUAGCUGGAUCAGUGUCGUAGCUAACGCGUUAAGUGAUUCGCCUGGGGAGUAUGGUCGCAAGGCUAAA